AACGACUCUCGGCAACGGAUAUCUCGGCUCUCGCAUCGAUGAAGAACGUAGCGAAAUGCGAUACUUGGUGUGAAUUUGCAGAAUCCCGUGAACCAUCGAGUUUUUGAACGCAAGUUGCGCSCCAAGCCUUCGGGCCGAGGGCACGCUUGCCUGGGCGUCACG
rnacentral:rRNA from 1 species